rnacentral:rRNA from 1 species
AGUGAACGCUGGCGGCGUGCCUAACACAUGCAAGUCGAACGCGAAAGCCCCGCAAGGGGUAAGUAGAGUGGCAGACGGGUGAGUAAUGCAUAGGUAAUCUACCUUUGAGUGGGGUAUAACACACCGAAAGGUAUGCUAAUCCCGCAUAAUAUCUCGAUGCAUAAGCGUCGGGAUCAAAGAGGGGGACCCUUCGGGGCCUCUCGCUUGAAGAGGAGCCUAUGUCCUAUUAGCUAGUUGGUGAGGUAAUGGCCCACCAAGGCUAUGAUGGGUAGCCGAGCUGAGAGGCUGAUCGGCCACACUGGAACUGAAACACGGUCCAGACUCCUACGGGAGGCAG